rnacentral:rRNA from 1 species
UGGGUAACCUGCCUCAAAGAGGGGAAUAGCCUCCCGAAAGGGAGAUUAAUACCGCAUAAUAUGUUUUAGUCGCAUGGCUUAAACAUCAAAGGAUUUUCUUUUAGAAAUUCCACUUUGAGAUGGACCCGCGGCGCAUUAGCUAGUUGGUGAGGUAACGGCUCACCAAGGCAACGAUGCGUAGCCGACCUGAGAGGGUGAUCGGCCACAUUGGAACUGAGACACGGUCCAGACUCCGUAGGGAGG